rnacentral:rRNA from 1 species
AUUGAACGCUGGCGGCAGGCCUAACACAUGCAAGUCGAACGGUAGCACAGAGAGCUUGCUCUCGGGUGACGAGUGGCGGACGGGUGAGUAACGUCUGGGAAACUGCCCGAUGGAGGGGGAUAACUACUGGAAACGGUAGCUAAUACCGCAUAACGUCGCAAGACCAAAGUGGGGGACCUUCGGGCCUCACACCAUCGGAUGUGCCCAGAUGGGAUUAGCUAGUAGGUGGGGUAAUGGCUCACCUAGGCGACGAUCCCUAGCUGGUCUGAGAGGAUGACCAGCCACACUGGAACUGAGACACGGUCCAGACUCCUACGGGAGGCAGCAGUGGGGAAUAUUGCACAAUGGGCGCAAGCCUGAUGCAGCCAUGCCGCGUGUAUGAAGAAGGCCUUCGGGUUGUAAAGUACUUUCAGCGGGGAGGAAGGCGGUGAAGUUAAUAACUUCACCGAUUGACGUUACCCGCAGAAGAAGCACCGGCUAACUCCGUGCCAGCAGCCGCGGUAA